GUUAAUUUAAAUACCAUGCAUGCAAACAUCAAUAUUCAUUCCAUAUGUUUGUCAAAUAACAUCAUGCUUUCUGUGUUAUCUCUUAUCAUGCGAUUAUUUUCAUCAUGUUUACUUAUUUACUUAUUAGAACAAUACAAAUCAUAAAAUAUCAUGGAAUAUUUACAUAAGUAUAUUUAAACCAUAACAAUAAUUAAACAUGUAACAAGCAAUCUCAUAUUCAUGCAAUAUUCCUUUUAUCACUCUAGAAAUACUGCUUAAAACGUGCAAAUAAAUACCAAAUUUUCUUACCAAAGCUUGAAGUUUUCUACACUCCUCUUCCUUCUAUUUUUUCCUUUUUUUCUCUCUCUAUCUCUCUCUCUUUCACUCUCUCUUUAGAAUUACUUUGGUGAAUGGAAAAAUGAAGAUGAUGUGAUGAAGGAGUGGUGGGGAGGGUCCCUAUUUAUAAAAAAAAGGGAUUGUUGGAUUUCUGCUAAGUGGUGCAAAUCCGUGAGGAGAGAGGGAGGAAAAAAAGUGACCGACGUGAUGCAAUGACUAACAAACAUGACUGACAAACAGUCGACAAGAUGACAGUGAUGCGAUGGUGGCACGAAAACUAAAGGCACAUUGGCCGAGGGACAACACACGCCUCCCAAACAAUUACGGCACACGCCCCCCAAAGGUACAGCACACACUGCCCUAUCACAUGCACAGGCUUGUUGCACACUGGCAGUGUUUGCCGUGCGCGC
rnacentral:lncRNA from 1 species